rnacentral:lncRNA from 1 species
GUUUACACAGAGAGGGACAGAGAGACGAAGGGCCCAGGUUUACACAGAGAGGGACAGAGAGAGACGUAGGGGCCAGGUUUACACAGAGAGGGACAGAGAGAGACGUAGGGGCCAGGUUUACACAGAGAGGGACAGAGAGAGACGUAGGGGCCAGGUUUACACAGAGAGGGACAGAGAGAUGAAGGGCCCAGGUUUACACAGAGAGGGACAGAGAGAGACGUAGGGGCCAGGUUUACACAGAGAGGGACAGAGAGAGACGUAGGGGCCAGGUUUACACAGAGAGGGACAGAGAGAGACGUAGGGGCCAGGUUUACACAGAGAGGGAAAGAGAUAUGAAGGGCCAGGUUUACACAGAGAGGGACAGAGACGUAGGGGCCAGGGUUUACACAGAGAGGGACAGAGAGAAGUAGGGGCCAGGUUUACACAGAGAGGGACAGAGAGAUGAAGGGCCCAGGUUUACACAGAGAGGGACAGAGAGAGACGUAGGGGCCAGGUUUACACAGAGAGGGACAGAGAGAGACGUAGGGGCCAGGUUUACACAGAGAGGGACAGAGAGAGACGUAGGGGCCAGGUUUACACAGAGAGGGACAGAGAGACGUAGGGCCUUAUUAUUAAAGAUGUAGUUUGAGUAUAACUCUGACUGGUGUGAAAGGUUUC